UGUAUCUGAAGUCUGACGAGGAUGAGAACCUCCGGGGGCAAGAGGUUCGACCCGAGCGAAGCGAGAGAACGUUGCGUCAGCAACGGCCCGCAGGGCGAGCCA
rnacentral:sRNA from 1 species